rnacentral:lncRNA from 7 species
CGGAGCGGAUCGGGCGCGCAGCUCCGCAACCCCCCGACCCCGCCAAGGUGGAAGUUUUCAUGGACUCAAUCCCCCGAGUCUUGAAAGAUGCAGAAAUAACAUUGGGUGGCAGAGUGAUGGUGAUGUUGAGUAGCAUUCACUUUGAGAGAACAAAAUGAAAGAGAAACAGAAGUAAAGGCGGAGUCAAUGAAGCUGCCCGUCUAUUUCAGGCACAUCCUACAGACACAAGGGAUAGAAGUCUGCCAACUGGACACAACCAGAAAGGUCAUCAAUGUAGAAGAUCGUUCCUUUUCUCUAUUGAAAAUCUACUUAAGUCCUCAGAGACUCAAGGCAAUGUUCCUGAUAAUUAGUUCUACUGCAUAUGUGCGUUCACCACAUGCGGGUUGUGACAAAGCAGACUCCUUCAAUCAAGACAGAGGGACAAGGUGUAACUUAAAGAGAGGCUGCAGUUCUGUGGUCAGCAGCUGCAGCUGCUGAGGCAGUGAAGAGGAACGUUCAUACAAGGAUGGGGUGCUCCUAUUGAAAAGACAGAAUCAUUUGUAGAAGCUUUGUGGGUGCAGCCACGGGAAAUGCUCAGGGUGUAAACUCAGCAGACAUCUGGUGAUGACAAGCUACCAGGCAGGAACUAAUGACUGGUUUCACAGAAGGGGCUGUUUUGGUUAGAAGCAGUAUCAUUGUUACUCUGCCAAAACCAUGAAUACAGCUCCCAUUUUUGACUAAAAGAGAAAUGACUAAUAGUGAAUUAGAAAAAAAUGGCCAAAUGGUCUUAAAGAAGUCGAUGCUGAGUUGACCAGUGGCUUCAAGAAAACACCUACCAACAGCAAAUCUGCAUCAGUAAUGAAGAAGGAACCAGGGAGGGGGGCUGCUGCUGCUGCAGCGCAAGGUGUGACUGGGAAUCAGUCAGCAGUUGGUGAGCAACUGCAUUGUGCAUCACUUGUUUUGUACCUUCUUCUAUUAUUAUUAUUAUUAUUCCCUUCCU